rnacentral:rRNA from 1 species
CGAUAACGGCGUCGAGCGGCGGACGGGUGAGUAAUGCCUAGGAAAUUGCCCUGRUGUGGGGGAUAACCAUUGGAAACGAUGGCUAAUACCGCAUAAUACCUACGGGUCAAAGAGGGGGACCUUCGGGCCUCUCGCGUCAGGAUAUGCCUAGGUGGGAUUAGCUAGUUGGUGAGGUAAUGGCUCACCAAGGCGACGAUCCCUAGCUGGUCUGAGAGGAUGAUCAGCCACACUGGAACUGAGACACGGUCCAGACUCCUACGGGAGGCAGCAGUGGGGAAUAUUGCACAAUGGGCGCAAGCCUGAUGCAGCCAUGCCGCGUGUGUGAAGAAGGCCUUCGGGUUGUAAAGCACUUUCAGUCGUGAGGAAGGUAGUGUAGUUAAUAGCUGCAUUAUUUGACGUUAGCGACAGAAGAAGCACCGGCUAACUCCGUGCCAGCAGCCGCGGUAAUACGGAGGGUGCGAGCGUUAAUCGGAAUUACUGGGCGUAAAGCGCAUGCAGGUGGUUUGUUAAGUCAGAUGUGAAAGCCCGGGGCUCAACCUCGGAAUAGCAUUUGAAACUGGCAGACUAGAGUACUGUAGAGGGGGGUAGAAUUUCAGGUGUAGCGGUGAAAUGCGUAGAGAUCUGAAGGAAUACCGGUGGCGAAGGCGGCCCCCUGGACAGAUACUGACACUCAGAUGCGAAAGCGUGGGGAGCAAACAGGAUUAGAUACCCUGGUAGUCCACGCCGUAAACGAUGUCUACUUGGAGGUUGUGGCCUUGAGCCGUGGCUUUCGGAGCUAACGCGUUAAGUAGACCGCCUGGGGAGUACGGUCGCAAGAUUAAAACUCAAAUGAAUUGACGGGGGCCCGCACAAGCGGUGGAGCAUGUGGUUUAAUUCGAUGCAACGCGAAGAAUCCUUACCUACUCUUGACAUCCAGAGAA